UUAAGCGACUAAGCGUACACGGUGGAUGCCCUGGCAGUCAGAGGCGAUGAAGGACGUGCUAAUCUGCGAUAAGCGUCGGUGAGGUGAUAUGAACCGUUAUAACCGGCGAUUUCCGAAUGGGGAAACCCAGUGUGUUUCGACACACUAUCAUUAACUGAAUCCAUAGGUUAAUGAGGCGAACCGGGGGAACUGAAACAUCUAAGUACCCCGAGGAAAAGAAAUCAACCGAGAUUCCCCCAGUAGCGGCGAGCGAACGGGGAGGAGCCCAGAGCCUGAAUCAGUGUGUGUGUUAGUGGAAGCGUCUGGAAAGGCGCGCGAUACAGGGUGACAGCCCCGUACACAAAAAUGCACAUAUUGUGAGCUCGAUGAGUAGGGCGGGACACGUGGUAUCCUGUCUGAAUAUGGGGGGACCAUCCUCCAAGGCUAAAUACUCCUGACUGACCGAUAGUGAACCAGUACCGUGAGGGAAAGGCGAAAAGAACCCCGGCGAGGGGAGUGAAAAAGAACCUGAAACCGUGUACGUACAAGCAGUGGGAGCCUCUUAAUGGGGUGACUGCGUACCUUUUGUAUAAUGGGUCAGCGACUUAUAUUCUGUAGCAAGGUUAACCGAAUAGGGGAGCCGAAGGGAAACCGAGUCUUAACUGGGCGUUAAGUUGCAGGGUAUAGACCCGAAACCCGGUGAUCUAGCCAUGGGCAGGUUGAAGGUUGGGUAACACUAACUGGAGGACCGAACCGACUAAUGUUGAAAAAUUAGCGGAUGACUUGUGGCUGGGGGUGAAAGGCCAAUCAAACCGGGAGAUAGCUGGUUCUCCCCGAAAGCUAUUUAGGUAGCGCCUCGUGAAUUCAUCUCCGGGGGUAGAGCACUGUUUCGGCAAGGGGGUCAUCCCGACUUACCAACCCGAUGCAAACUGCGAAUACCGGAGAAUGUUAUCACGGGAGACACACGGCGGGUGCUAACGUCCGUCGUGAAGAGGGAAACAACCCAGACCGCCAGCUAAGGUCCCAAAGUCAUGGUUAAGUGGGAAACGAUGUGGGAAGGCCCAGACAGCCAGGAUGUUGGCUUAGAAGCAGCCAUCAUUUAAAGAAAGCGUAAUAGCUCACUGGUCGAGUCGGCCUGCGCGGAAGAUGUAACGGGGCUAAACCAUGCACCGAAGCUGCGGCAGCGACGCUUAUGCGUUGUUGGGUAGGGGAGCGUUCUGUAAGCCUGUGAAGGUGGCCUGUGAGGGUUGCUGGAGGUAUCAGAAGUGCGAAUGCUGACAUAAGUAACGAUAAAGCGGGUGAAAAGCCCGCUCGCCGGAAGACCAAGGGUUCCUGUCCAACGUUAAUCGGGGCAGGGUGAGUCGACCCCUAAGGCGAGGCCGAAAGGCGUAGUCGAUGGGAAACAGGUUAAUAUUCCUGUACUUGGUGUUACUGCGAAGGGGGGACGGAGAAGGCUAUGUUGGCCGGGCGACGGUUGUCCCGGUUUAAGCGUGUAGGCUGGUUUUCCAGGCAAAUCCGGAAAACCAAGGCUGAGGCGUGAUGACGAGGCACUACGGUGCUGAAGCGACAAAUGCCCUGCUUCCAGGAAAAGCCUCUAAGCAUCAGGUAACAUCAAAUCGUACCCCAAACCGACACAGGUGGUCAGGUAGAGAAUACCAAGGCGCUUGAGAGAACUCGGGUGAAGGAACUAGGCAAAAUGGUGCCGUAACUUCGGGAGAAGGCACGCUGAUAUGUAGGUGAAGCGACUUGCUCGUGGAGCUGAAAUCAGUCGAAGAUACCAGCUGGCUGCAACUGUUUAUUAAAAACACAGCACUGUGCAAACACGAAAGUGGACGUAUACGGUGUGACGCCUGCCCGGUGCCGGAAGGUUAAUUGAUGGGGUUAGCGGCAACGCGAAGCUCUUGAUCGAAGCCCCGGUAAACGGCGGCCGUAACUAUAACGGUCCUAAGGUAGCGAAAUUCCUUGUCGGGUAAGUUCCGACCUGCACGAAUGGCGUAAUGAUGGCCAGGCUGUCUCCACCCGAGACUCAGUGAAAUUGAACUCGCUGUGAAGAUGCAGUGUACCCGCGGCAAGACGGAAAGACCCCGUGAACCUUUACUAUAGCUUGACACUGAACAUUGAGCCUUGAUGUGUAGGAUAGGUGGGAGGCUUUGAAGUGUGGACGCCAGUCUGCAUGGAGCCGACCUUGAAAUACCACCCUUUAAUGUUUGAUGUUCUAACGUUGGCCCGUAAUCCGGGUUGCGGACAGUGUCUGGUGGGUAGUUUGACUGGGGCGGUCUCCUCCUAAAGAGUAACGGAGGAGCACGAAGGUUGGCUAAUCCUGGUCGGACAUCAGGAGGUUAGUGCAAUGGCAUAAGCCAGCUUGACUGCGAGCGUGACGGCGCGAGCAGGUGCGAAAGCAGGUCAUAGUGAUCCGGUGGUUCUGAAUGGAAGGGCCAUCGCUCAACGGAUAAAAGGUACUCCGGGGAUAACAGGCUGAUACCGCCCAAGAGUUCAUAUCGACGGCGGUGUUUGGCACCUCGAUGUCGGCUCAUCACAUCCUGGGGCUGAAGUAGGUCCCAAGGGUAUGGCUGUUCGCCAUUUAAAGUGGUACGCGAGCUGGGUUUAGAACGUCGUGAGACAGUUCGGUCCCUAUCUGCCGUGGGCGCUGGAGAACUGAGGGGGGCUGCUCCUAGUACGAGAGGACCGGAGUGGACGCAUCACUGGUGUUCGGGUUGUCAUGCCAAUGGCACUGCCCGGUAGCUAAAUGCGGAAGAGAUAAGUGCUGAAAGCAUCUAAGCACGAAACUUGCCCCGAGAUGAGUUCUCCCUGAGACUUAGAGUCUCCUGAAGGAACGUUGAAGACGACGACGUUGAUAGGCCGGGUGUGUAAGCGCAGCGAUGCGUUGAGCUAACCGGUACUAAUGAACCGUGAGGCUUAACCUU
rnacentral:rRNA from 2 species